AAUUGACGGGGCCCGCACAAGCGGUGGAGCAUGUGGUUUAAUUCGAUGCAACGCGAAGAACCUUACCUGGGCUUGAAAUCCCGGGAAUCCCCUGGAAACAGGGGAGUGCCCCUUCGGGGAACCCGGUGACAGGUGCUGCAUGGCUGUCGUCAGCUCGUGUCGUGAGAUGUUGGGUUAAGUCCCGCAACGAGCGCAACCCUUGUCUUUAAUUGCCAGCAUUCAGUUGGGCACUUUAAAGAUACUGCCGGUGUCAAGCCGGAGGAAGGUGGGGAUGACGUCAAGUCCUCAUGGCCUUUAUGCCCAGGGCUACACACGUGCUACAAUGGGUGGUACAAAGAGCAGCAAUCUCGCGAGAGGGAGCAAAUCUCAUAAAGCCAUCCUCAGUUCGGAUUGGAGUCUGCAACUCGACUCCAUGAAGUUGGAAUCGCUAGUAAUCGCGGAUCAGCAUGCCCGCGGUCGAAUACGUUCCCGGGCCUU
rnacentral:rRNA from 1 species